rnacentral:rRNA from 1 species
UACGAAGGGGGCUAGCGUUGUUCGGAAUCACUGGGCGUAAAGGGCGCGUAGGCGGCCGAUCAAGUCGGGGGUGAAAGCCUGUGGCUCAACCACAGAAUUGCCUUCGAUACUGUUUGGCUUGAGACCGGAAGAGGUAAGUGGAACUGCGAGUGUAGAGGUGAAAUUCGUAGAUAUUCGCAAGAACACCAGUGGCGAAGGCGGCUCACUGGCCCGAUACUGACGCUGAUGCACGAAAGCGUGGGGAGCAAACAGG